UACGGAGGGAGCUAGCGUUGUUCGGAAUUACUGGGCGUAAAGCGUACGUAGGCGGAUUGUUAAGUGAGGGGUGAAAUCCCGAGGCUCAACCUCGGAACUGCCUUUCAUACUGGCAAUCUUGAGUCCGGGAGAGGUGAGUGGAACUCCUAGUGUAGAGGUGAAAUUCGUAGAUAUUAGGAAGAACACCAGUGGCGAAGGCGGCUCACUGGCCCGGAACUGACGCUGAGGUGCGAAAGCGUGGGGAGCAAACAGG
rnacentral:rRNA from 1 species